UUGAUUUAUAGAGAGAUCUUCUAUAUCCAUUCACUACUCAGAAUCACCUCUUUCUAUUGUUGAUUGUUGUUUGGGUUUCGGAGAAAGAAAAUUAAGAAGAUGAGUCAUAUGGGGAAAGCUUGGUUAGUGGCAGCAAGUGUGGGAGCAGUGGAGGCACUCAAGGAUCAGGGCUUCUGCAGAUGGAACUACACUCUGAGGUCUAUUCACCAGCAUGCCAAGACCAACCUCAGGUCCUUUGCUCAGGCCAAGAAGCUCUCUUCUUCCUCUUCCGCCAUGGUUUCCAGCAGAGUGAGAGAGGAGAAGGCCAAGCAGUCAGAGGAGUCUCUGAGGACUGUCAUGUACUUGAGCUGCUGGGGACCCAACUGAAGAAGAAGAUAUGAAGAUGGAUGAUCAUCAGCCUGCUCUUGAAGCAUCCAGGGAGGGCAUAUUCCAAGAAAGUAACGGAAAAUUGAGAUGAAGAAGCUGCAGUGAAGCAAUUUCAUGGAAUUUUUGCUUGGAGACUCACGAAUUACAACCAAUUGCUCAGGGUUGGGAAAAUUGGAAUUGGUGUAAAUUGUGACUGGGUCUUUGUAAAACCCACAUCAUUUAGCUAGAAAAGCUUUGAAAAUACAUUUUAAUUUAAUUUAUAAUUUCUAUGUUAGAAUAUUAGAUCCAAUUCCUAAAAAGCUUAUCAGCCUUGUAUAUAUGGCUAAGCAGGUCAACUUCCCAAGCUCAAGCGCAUUAAGAAAUUCUCAGACCUACCUUUUUUUUAUAGAAUUUUUGGGAAGUUUUACAGCAAUUGAAAACAAAUCUUAAAAGGGUCGGGAAAUUAUUUGAAAAAAUAUGGCAGAUUUGGUCACAUAGGUGAUAAAGAGGUGAUAAAGUUGGUACAACGCCCAAAAUUAAACUCUCAAUUAAUUUAAUUGAACAAAUAAUCAUAAAAGAGAUUUUUUUAAUUUAUGAUUUUUAUUUUUUUAUUUAUACUUUUUGAAAAAGAAAAUUCCAGUGAAAUAUGUUCGUGUAGACUGUGUGGCAGGAUGCAGACUAAACAAAGAAAUUGACACGUGCUUGAAGUCCGGCCCUACACAUAGCCCCAUUGGAAAACAGCGGUUUCAUCCUCCGUACUCUUUGGGCGUUAAGUGGGUUCACAAACCAAACAAUGGGCUGCCCCAACACAGCAACACUUAGACUGAGGACAAACUAUGUAGGUGAAUACCCAAUUAUACCCACAUGAAUCAGUGGUCAAUCUUUCAAAUCUAAGGACAGAGUAGUCAUUCCAAUUCAAACCAAACAAAGCUAUGAGAACUGCUGGCCACAGCCUCUGGUUUCCCCAAAACUUUGGGCAGUAUUCCUCAAAGAAUCAAGUGGGCUAGAGUUAAUAACUACGUCCACCAUGGUUAGAUUAUUGGGGGCUAGAGUUAAUAACUUCAUCGACCAUGGUUAGAUUAUUGGUAUCUCGAUGGGAGAAGUUGUUUUGAUGGAAAAACAUUGUAUUUUAUUAUUUUGUAAAUUUUAUCAUCACUCAUAUAUAUUAUUUUUUAUUUAAAAUUAAAUAAAAAAUUAAAAUUCUUAGAAAAUACGAAAAGAAAGUAUAUCACAAUCUUUAUUUUCUAUUCUAAAAUUAAAAAAUAAAAAUAAAAUUAUGAAGAAAAAAGUACAUUCCAACUUACAUUAAUUAAGGGAUGAUAUACUGUGUAAAUAAAAAAUAUAAAAAAUAAUUAAAGGUUAAAUAAAUCACUUAAUAAAUCGGUAGUAUGGGUUGAUGGUUUCAUUAUUAGACUAUAACAAGGAUUUUCUUUUUCUUUUUCUUUUUAAAUGCAUUUCAUGGUGGUGUAGAAUUUUUUUGUAUAAGGGUUUUUAAAUUGUAAUAUAGAUUAUACAUAUAGUUGUGUUUUGUCCUAAAUUCUGACUUCCAAGUUUUCAACAUUAUAUAAAAAUUCCUAAAAUCACCUACUUCGUAGGUUUUAUAACAUUAUAUAAAAAGCCAUGAAUUCACCUAUUAGAAAAAUGUUAUUUGGUGCGCUAUCAUUACCAUGACCUCAAUCUCGUGCAAAGAUACCGAGUGGUUACAAAUAGUAAAAAAUAAAUAAUAAAAACAAAAUAUAUUCAUUAUUAUUAUUAUUAUUUUGUUCUUUUAUCAUCCAUUAUUCACAUCUUAGCAUAUGAUAGAAAAGAUGAUAAAAGAUUAUUUAUGUUAUAUGAUUUUAAGUGAAAUGAUCAAAAUAUUUAAAGAAAAAAUUAAUAAUUCAUGAAGAAUUUUUGGUAAAUUUAUAAAUUUGUAAUAAAUAUUGAUAAAUGAUAAACAAAGUAGUUUUUAAAGUGGUUGCAGCAGUUAAACAUUGUAUCUUAUUAUGAUUUUCCACCCUCAAAACUUAAUAAUAAAAUUUCAUAACAAAUUUUUAUCUAUUUGAAACUUUUGAAAUGUGAAAUCUUUUCUUGGACAUUUUUAUAUAUACAUUUGUGAAUUUUAUCUUUAUUUUUUAUUUAUAAAAUUAAAGGAUAAAAUUAAAAUGUUAAAAAUAAAAGAGAAGUAUAUCCCAACUUGCAUCAAUUAAGAGAAGAUAUAUUAAGCAUGUGAAGAAUGCAAAAAAAAUUAAUGAUAAAAUAAAUCACUUAGUAGAUAGUAUUUAAUGAUUUACAUUAUUAGAUUGUAGCAAUGAGUUAUAUUUUUAUUUUUGUGUAUAGGGGAUUUUAAAUUAUAAUAUAUAUUUUUUUAUUUUUGAGUUAGUUUUCUUUGUUGAUACAUAGUUUUUUUUUUGUCUUGGAUAUUGUGUUAUCAACAGUUUUAAAAGAAAUAAAAAUUAUUUAUCCCACAUCGAUUCAAAACUAAAAAUAUUAUAUAUAUUUAUUAAAACUUUGAUACUCUUAAAAAAUACAAGUACAACCAAUAAGCAAGCAUAGGGAUGGCAACGGGGUGGGUAUGGGACAUGCCACCCCUACCCCAUUUCCAUCCCGGUUAUAUAUUUUUUUGCCCAUCCUUGUCCCAAACUCGGGGCGGGGCGAGUUGGUGUCCCCCUUACCUAUUUACAAAAGAACUGAUAAUCUCAUCUCCGUCCCAAAUGUAUUUUCGGGAAUUAUGCUUUUACAAAACAUAGGUCUCUGAAAUUUCAAUAUAUGUUAUAUGGGUUAUCAUAAACACAUUUAAUCAAGCAUUUGUUGUGCAACAAAACUGCAAAUUACACAUAUGAGAACAAAAUGCACAGAUCUACAAAUAAACAACCCAAAAAAUCUCAAAUCCAUAAACCAAAACCAGAAAAUAUGAAAAACAAGACAUUCUAACAAAGCCUCAAAACAUAGUAUUUAAUGAUUUACAUUAUUAGAUUGUAGCAAUGAGUUAUAUUUUUAUUUUUGUGUAUAGGGGAUUUUAAAUUAUAAUAUAUAUUUUUUUAUUUUUGAGUUAGUUUUCUUUGUUGAUACAUAGUUUUUUUUUUGUCUUGGAUAUUGUGUUAUCAACAGUUUUAAAAGAAAUAAAAAUUAUUUAUCCCACAUCGAUUCAAAACUAAAAAUAUUAUAUAUAUUUAUUAAAACUUUGAUACCCUUAAAAAAUACAAGUACAACCAAUAAGCAAGCAUAGGGAUGGCAACGGGGUGGGUAUGGGACAUGCCACCCCUACCCCAUUUCCAUCUCGGUUAUAUAUUUUUUUGCCCAUCCUUGUCCCAAACUCGGGGCAGGGCGAGUUGGUGUCCCCUUUACAUGUUUACAAAAGAACUGAUAAUCUCAUCCCCGUCCCAAAUGUAUUUUCGGGAAUUAUGCUUUUACAGAACAUAGGUCUCUGAAAUUUCAAUAUACGUUAUAUGGGUUAUCAUAAACACAUUUAAUCAAGCAUUUGUUGUGCAACAAAACUGCAAAUUACACAUAUGAGAACAAAAUGCACAGAUCUACAAAUAAACAACCCAAAAAAUCUCAAAUCCAUAAACCAAAACCAGAAAAUAUGAAAAACAAGACAUUCUAACAAAGCCUCAAAACUUAGGGUUUUCUUACCUGGAAAUGAGGAAUCCAUAGAAACCCUAAUAAUUUGUUGUCUACGAAUUUGGUUUUUGGUUUUUAGAGCAAAAAUUGUGCUUUUAGGGUGAAAUGGGAAGAAGCAAUUUAGGAAUAAAUGAGAAAACGGGAAGAAAUGAGAAAAUGAAAGGCCUCUUACAAGCAAAAGAACCCUGAGCAAUUUAGGAAGAAAUGAGAAAACGGGAAGAAAUGAGAGCGAAAGCCCUCUAAUUCUCUCACGAGCGAAAUAACCCUAAAACUUGAGGAAGAAAUGAUUAUAUACGGAGAACUUUUUGGGUAUUUUGUAAUGAUAUAAGGGUAAAUUGGUAAUUCACAUACGGGACGGGGUAGAAACUGCAAAACCCAUCCCUGCCUUAAACCCGAUUCGGGUUUUUAUAUAUUCCCCAAACCCGUUUUAUACCCGAAUAGAAUAUUCUCAUACCCGUCCCAAUAGGGAUGGGGCGGGUGACCCGGAUUACCCAGAAAAUUGUAGUUCCUAAGCAAGCAUUGAGCUAAAUCCUAAUCUCACAUUCCUGCUCGAAACUUUACACUCACAUAAAAACAACUCACCACUUGACUCGAUGGACUAUUCCGUAACUUCUCACUACCAACAACCAGGCACUAUUCAACCUCUCGCUCACUUAUAAAUUCACUCCCUACCUGCAUAUUCAAAACAUAUCUUACUACUAUUCUACUCUACUAUUCUACUUUUCGUGGUUUCAUAUCUCACUAUUAUUCUACUUUUCGCGGUUUCAUAUCUCACUACUAUUCGCGUGUUCAAAGUGUGCAUAUUCAAAGUGUAUCCCUCCUUGAAUUAAUUGUGAAUUAAUUUAGGCUUCAAAGUGUGUUGCUCUACAACAUCCCUCCUAGUCAGGCCUCAAAGUAAGAACAACAACAUCUACAAUAUCUGCCAUGGCCACACAACCAAGGCAUGUGGUAUGCCUCAUUUUCUCAUGUCCUUUUCCCAUUUUGUUCCCUCUUUUCAUCUCCAUUUUGUUUUCAAUAUUCCCUUACCUUACUCAUAUUCUCUAAAAUUAGAUAAAAUUAUUAAUUUGAUCAUAUUUAUCUAACAUUUUUAAUUAGUACUACUAGUAUCUUAUUUUCAUAAAUCUAAUUGAAUUUCCUACUUAUUUAUUUAUUGUUUUCAUGACAAAAAUUCAUCAGCUUUCAUAUCUUUCCUUACAAUUCUGAGUUCAACUGUCCUUGCGAAAUACCAAUAUGAGAAUGUUUCCCCAUUUGCCCAACACAACAUAGGUAUGCAAAUCUCCUUAUUUGCAUCAUUUAUAUAUUUCAUGAUGGUUGUGGCUUAUGAAAUCCUUGAUUCUAAUGGAACUAUCAAAAUUGAAGAAGAUGGAAGAUAUCUCCUUAUUUUGGGUCAUGUUUAGUUCUUAAGUGGAACAGCAGCUGCAACUUUGUUGAUCCUGAUCUUGAUCCCAUAUUUUGGAUGGUUCUUUCUGAUCAUGUGGACCAUGUUCUUAGUGAAAAUAGCAUGCUAUUGGGAUAAAACAUUUUAUAACUUUGACAUGUUCAAGAAUAAAAAAAAAUGCCAAUGAUAAGGAAUGAGGACAAGAGGAGCAACGACCCCAAGUUUAGAGUAGGUUUGGUCUAUAAGAGGUUAUUAGCAAAAAACAUAUUUUCUUCUUGUACUUUUGAAAGUGUUAUAUAAGUGUCAUAUUUUGAGUAAUGAGAGUAUUUUUUUUUCCUUUUUUCUUUUUCUCUAAUACAUUAUUGUUGAUUAUUCUUCGCUGGAAUACCCACAAGGCUAUUAGAUGUUUCAUUGCAAAUAUGGUUUUAUAUGAUAGCAUUACGAUUGAACUUAUAAAACAUAUUUUCUACAUAUUGUUUAGCUGGGCCUCCCAACUACCUCUCGGUAAUAUCCUCUUAACAUAGGAAGUAUAAACUAAUAGCAAGUGCUAAUCUUUCCCAUUCUUACACAAGAAAGACCCAAGGAGAAGGUAUAUUUAGAAAUUGCAUAUCUAUGUUCCCAAACAAUAGAAAAUUCAAUAUAUGGCACUUCACUCUCUACUUUUCUUUCCCACAUUUUCUCAUAACCCAAAUAUGCUCACCUCUCAUUCUAAGAUCCAACCAUUGAAAAACAAUUACAAAAAUCCUAAUAAAAGAGAUAGAUCAUACUACAAUUACACUUUCUUACAAGAAAUUGAAGUGUAGAAGGUAUAACAAUUGAGUGAAACAAAUAAAAACCAACCUCCUUUAACACACCUGCUAAUGAAAUACUUGUAGAGACACUAUAAAUCCCUCCAGACUCCAAAAGAUACUGAUCAACAGCCUCGGCACUUGCAGCGACGAGACCAAUCCUUGGUACGAUAUAAUGCACGAACUCGACACGGAAUCGGUAAGACUCAGUUAGAUUACAGAAAAAUUUUCAAACAUUCUUUUUUUCUUUCCAAUCAUAAUAAAACAUUAGAAUAUUUUCCAAAAGCAAACACCCAUGAUUUUGAAAUUGGAGCUUUUAAACCAGAAGAUCAAAGAAGACGAAGAAGAAAAAACCCAACCCCUGACCCGUUCAGAAAUAAGAGGAGAAACCACCGAAUGAUGAAGGCAUGAUUUAGGAUUUACUUACUUGAUUUUCCUAAAAAUCGAGAAUCACCAGAGGGUGGAGGUUUGGUGUCGGCGGUGGUAACUUGUCAAGUGGACUAAAUCUUGCAACGAGGACGUCAGCCAGGCAACCCUCACAGUCAGAUUGCUCCCCCUCCGGGGUCUUUCAUAGUUGUAAAUUUGCAAUUGCAAGUGGUGUCAUUUGUCGGCGGUCUUGACAGCAAAGGUGGUAUGCAAGGUGUGGGAGAUUGGGAGCCCUAAUUGGUAAAGUAAAAAAUGCAUUUUAUAUGGAUUUACAUUGAUGAUAUGAGAUAGGAUUUGAUGGUAACUUAUUAAAUUAAAUUAAAUGAUUGAGUCUAAAAUGAUAUGGAUGGUAUGAGAUAGGAUUUAAUGAAAAAUUAAAUGUAUUUAUAUGGCAGAUUGAGAAUUAAAUCUCCAAUUCUUAGUAUUAUUAUAAAUAGCUUUGAGUUAAAUGUGAAAUUUUUUUGUUUUAUUAAUUUUUUAAGCUUAUUUAAUUUCUAUCUAUUUUUUUUAUAUAAUUUACAUAACAUUUUUAUAAUUUUAUGAAAUUUCUAAUUAUCUUAUUUUGCGUAAUGCUUGAUACUGAAUCGAGAUGUCAAGACCAACAUGUCUCGGGAUCAUCUGAGUCAAUGAUCGAUAUCGCGACUUUGAACCAUACUCGUCUCCAAUCCCUCAACAAUGAUGAAAAAUGAGGCCAACGUAGUUGCCUUUUUUAUUAUUAUCAGUUAAAAAUAAUGAAUCUAAAUUCAUGUAUUAUCAAGAAUAAAUAAGUUUAUAUUUAUAAAUUUUUAUUAUAAAUUUAUAUUUACACAUAUCCUUGAUUUUCCUCAAGGUUUUAUUUUUAAUUGAUUACAAAGCAUUAGUACUUAUUUAAUUUAAAAUGUAUUAAAUAAAUAUUAAUAUUAUAUAAAUAAAUAAAAGUUGAAUUUGAAUAAAAAAUUUAUAUAUAUAUAUCAUAUUCUUCAUGAAUAUGAAUCUAUUAUUAAAGAUACAUGGUAAUAAGUGUUAAUAUUAUAUAAUCAAAUGAGAGAGUACAAAAAUGUUCUAUUAUUAGCAAUACAUUAUUAUAAUAAUAAGAUACUUAAUAUAAUGUAAAUAAAUAAAAGUCGUCAUAAAUUUAAAUUUGAAUUUAUAUUUUAAAACCCAUCACAUUUAUUUUUAUUUUUUUAAAAUUUUAAGAAUUUUUUCUCCACUUCAAAUAGCAAUAAUAGUGUUUAUUCAUACUAAUUAUACUUAAAAUUGAUGAAAAUUAUGAAAAAAAAAACCCAUACCCUUCAAAUUUAUAUUUGUUUUAAUUUUAAAUUUUUUUUCUCUACUUCAAGUAAUAAUAAUAAUAAUGUUUAUUCAUACUAAUAACAAUAAAAUUAAUGAAAAUGAUGAAAAAUAAAAAAUUGUUUGGUUUCAACAUUGUUUAUUCAAAAUAAUUUUUUUUAUUUGCACUUUCCUACUAGGCCAAACUAAGAAUGACUCAGACCAGUAUGGUCCGUUUAAAUGCCUAUCUUUUUAUUAUAAGCUCACUAAGCUGCAUCUCUCAAGACUCUAGUGAAACACAAUCUGGCCCAAAUAAAUUUUCCGAUUCAAUCCACUUCCUACAAUUCCGCCAAAAAGACCUAAUUUCUCAUUGAAAAAAUGGUUAAAAAUAAGAAUAGCAAGAGAAUCAAGUUAUGGCUCAAAAAAGGUUUUUUUUUUUUCUUAAAAAAAAAAAAAAAAACUAUCUAAACCUUAAAAAAAUUGAAAAUAAGUAAAACAUAAGAUAAGUUACAAACUAAAUGCACCAAAAGUAAAUUCAAAAAUGGAAUAGCUGGUUAGGGACAAUACUAUAAACAAGUAGGCUUAUCAAUUGUUGAAUCCAUAGAAUCUGUGGUCUCCCUAUGCAUUAUGAAUUUUUUCUUUGCUUCAAAUAAUAAUAAUAAUAAUAAUAAUAAUGUUUAUUCAUACUAAUAAACAAUUCUUCAUAAUCAUAACCUCCUAAUUUCCAAUAAUUAUAAUUGAAAUUAUUUUAAAUAAACAAUGUUGAAACCAAACAAUGUUUCAACAUAAUAGGAAAGUGCAAAUAAAAAUACCCCAUUACAAAUACCUUCCAAAAUUUAUUUAAAAUUCAUAGAUUUUUUUUUUUACUUUAAAUAUCAAAAAAAUUAUUGAUUCAUAAUAAUUUCACUUAGAAUUCAUAAAAAAAUAUGAGGAAAAAAAAUUAAAAUAAAAAAUUUUAAGAUCCCUACCCUUCCCAUUUAAUUUUAACAAUUUUUUUCUGAGCAUUGAUUUGUUGAUCGGUUAUCAAGGGCCACUCAUUUGCUUUGUUGGAUCUAACUCUCUAUAAGCAUGCUUUGUUUUGGCUUCGUUUUUUUUAUCUUUGCUUUCUCUUGUAAAUAUCUGAUGCAUUGUUCCCUCUUUGAACUUGAGAUAUAAAAACCAUGCUCUUGUUCCUUGUGGAUUCCACCUGCUCCUAGCUCUUUGAUAAUCCAUGAAAUAGAGCUAAGUUCAUACUCUAUUUUUAUGUUUUUAUUAUUCUUUGUUUGUUGUUGAUGGUGGGAUGAUAUUAUCAAUGGCCAAGUUGCUGGGAUUGGAGGAGUGAGGUUAUGGGGAAGUGAACUUAAUGGAGGAUUUCUGUGAUCAUAUCUAUGCUCCAAUCUAUUGGUUCCAAAUGUUGGUCACGAGACUGCAUUGAAGUUUUGGUAUUUGGGAUCACUUUGCCAUCUGGGUUUAGUAAGCAACACAGUGGCAAUAAAGAUGCAUUGGUGUUAUUAAUUUGGGUGAAUAAGUUGGUUGUAUGAAUUGUGAAAGUUCAGGUUGUGCUUUGAGGAGAGUAUAUCUUGCAUCCUACUAUUUUAAUUAUUAAUUUUGGAUGUUGAAAUAUGAUGUGAUUGCACUUCAUAUGCAUCAUGGUUGUGUGAGGAAAAAGAAAUAUUAAAGAAAUGGUUGUGUGAAAUGGAAAUAAGAAUGAAAAGACCCUGGAUAGGGCAAAAAUGAAAAGAAAAGAAAAAAAAAAUGAAAUGAUCCUAGAGAGGGCGAAUUAAGAAGGAAGUGAGAUCUCUAAGCUGAAAGACCCAAAAGUUUACUUCGAGAAGACUCCGAAUGGGGAGUAUAUUUAGGUAUAGACGUGUAUCCUUUGGUGAAAGCUUGAGAACCACAGUGCAUUGUGUGAUUGCGUGUAACCAUUUGCAUCAUAAUUGUAUUUGGAAGAAGGAUUUGUAUUAUUUAUCAAGUGUAUGUUUGAAUAUAUUAUUCAAAACUAAAAUGACUUGUUUAUUUUGUAAAUUUAGAAUUGUUGAUAUACUAAACAUAUGAUUGAAUAAGGAAAAUGAUAAUUUUGAUUGUUUUAAAUUUGUAUGGUUGGGGUUUCUUUUAGUGUAUAUAUUGUAAAUGUAAUAUUAUAUCUUGACAUAUGGUUGUGUUAUUGACUUAGAAUUUCUAACCUAUUUGGGUGUAAAACACCCUACUAAGCAACGUGAAAAUGCUCACCCCUUUAUUUUCUAAAAUUUUUAGAUGCAGAUAUAGUUUCAGAGGGGCCGCAAGAAGUUCAAGAAGCGUUCUAGAAAGCAAAAGAACUAUAAUAAUAGUUGUUUUUAAAUUUAUAUUUAUCCUUUUACAUGUACCAAUUUGAAUUAUAUGGGCUUUUGUAUGUUAAAUUAUAUUUUGUUAGAUUGUAAAACAUUUUUGGAAAUAUUUUUUUUGACUUAGAGAUUAUUAUAAAUAUUUGAGCUUUUGGACAGAAAGAUGACUGGUGGAUUUAUUAUACUUGUGAAUAAGAGAUAGUGUGAUGGUUGGUUUUAGAAAAAUAAAAUAUUAUAAUAAAUCUUAACUUAAUAAAUUUAUUUAAGAUUAGACGUUUUAUUAUUUAAAAAAAAAAAGUUUCAGAGUUUUUUGAUUGAUUGUCAGUGUGGAUAGGAGUAAUCCUUAGGGUCAAACCCUUGGCCGACUAUGUAGGUGAAUACCCAAUUAUACCCACAUGAAUCAGCCGUCAAUCUUACAAAUCCAAGGGCAAAGUAGUCAUUCCAAUUCAAACAAAACCAAGCCAUGAUUCAUGAAAACUGCUGGCCACAGCUCCUGGUUUUUCCCAAACUUUGGGCACCAAAUCCAAACCCAUCUCUUGCUAUAUAACCAACCCACCUUCACCUCAUCUUCUUCAUCACAACACAACUACCCUGAUUUACAGAGAGAUUUUCUAUAUCCAUUCACUACUCAGAAUCACCUCUUUCUAUUGUUGAUUGUUGUUUGGGUUUCGGAGAAAGAAAAUUAAGAAGAUGAGUCAUGUGGGGAAAGCUUGGUUAGUGGCAGCAAGUGUGGGAGCAGUGGAGGCACUCAAGGAUCAGGGCUUCUGCAGAUGGAACUACACUCUGAGGUCUAUUCACCAGCAUGCCAAGACCAACCUCAGGUCCUUUGCUCAGGCCAAGAAGCUCUCUUCUUCCUCUUCCGCCAUGGUUUCCAGCAGAGUGAGAGAGGAGAAGGCCAAGCAGUCAGAGGAGUCUCUGAGGACUGUCAUGUACUUGAGCUGCUGGGGACCCAACUGAAGAAGAAGAUAUGAAGAUGGAUGAUCAUCAGCCUGCUCUUGAAGCAUCCAGGGAGGGCAUAUUCCAAGAAAGUAACGGAAAAUUGAGAUGAAGAAACUGCAGUGAAGCAAUUUCAUGGAAUUUUUGCUUGGAGACUCACGAAUUACAACCAAUUGCUCAGGGUUGGGAAAAUUGGAAUUGGCGUAAAUUGUGACUGGGUCUUUGUAAAACCCACAUCAUUUAGCUAGAAAAGCUUUGAAAAUACAUUUUAAUUUAAUUUAUAAUUUCUAUGUUAGAAUAUUAGACCCAAUUCCUAAAAAGCUUGUCAGCCUUGUAUAUAUGGCUAAGCAGGUCAACUUCCCAAGCUCAAGCGCAUUAAGAAAUUCUCAAACCUACCUUUUUUUUAUAGGAUUUUUGGGAAGUUUUACAGCAAUUGAAAACAAAUCUUAAAAGGGUCGGGAAAUUAUUUGAAAAAAUAUGGCAGAUUUGGUCACAUAGGGGAUAAAGAGGUGAUAAAGUUGGUACAACGCCCAAAAUUAAACUCUCAAUUAAUUUAAUUGAACAAAUAAUCAUAAAAGAGAUUUUUUUAAUUUAUGAUUUUUAUUUUUUUAUUUAUACUUUUUGAAAAAGAAAAUUCCAGUGAAAUAUGUUCGUGUAGACUGUGUGGCAGGAUGCAGACUAAACAAAGAAAUUGACACGUGCUUGAAGUCCGGCCCUACACAUAGCCCCAUUGGAAAACAGCGGUUUCAUCCUCCGUACUCUUUGGGCGUUAAGUGGGUUCACAAACCAAACAAUGGGCUGCCCCAACACAGCAACACUUAGACUGAGGACAAACUAUGUAGGUGAAUACCCAAUUAUACCCACAUGAAUCAGUGGUCAAUCUUUCAAAUAUAAGGACAGAGUAGUCAUUCCAAUUCAAAUCAAACAAAGUUAUGAGAACUGCUGGCCACAGCCUCUGGUUUCCCCAAAACUUUGGGCACUAUUCCUCAAAGAAUCAAGUGGGCUAGAGUUAAUAACUUCGUCCACCAUGGUUAGAUUACUGGGGGCUAGAGUUAAUAACUUCAUCCACCAUGGUUAGAUUAUUGGUAUCUCGAUGGGAGAAGUUGUUUUGACGGUAAAACAUUGUAUUUUAUUAUUUUGUAAAUUUUAUCAUCACUCAUAUAUAUUAUUUUUUAUUUAAAAUUAAAUAAAAAAUUAAAAUUCUUAGAAAAUGCGAAACAAAAGUAUAUCACAACUUAUAUUAAUUAAACGUCUUUAUUUUCUAUUCUAAAAUUAAAAAACAAAAUUAAAAUUAUCAAGAAAAAAGUACAUUCCAACUUACAUUAAUCAAGGGAUGAUAUACUGUACAAAUAAAAAAUAAUAAAAAUAAUUAAAGGUUAAAUAAAUCGCUUAAUAAAUUGAUAGUAUGGGUUGAUGGUUUCAUUAUAAGACCAUAACAAGGAUUUUCUUUUUCUUUUUCUUUUUAAAUGCAUUUCACGGUGGUGUAGAAUUUUUUUGUAUAAGGGUUUUUAAAUUAUAAUAUUGAUUAUAUAUAUAGGUGUGUUUUGUCCUAAAUUCCGAUUUCCAAGUUUCCAACAUUAUAUAAAAAUCCCUAAAAUCAUCUACUUCGUAAGUUUUCUAACAUUAUAUAAAAAGCCCUGAAUUCACUUAUUAGGAAAAUGCUAUUUGGUGCACUACCAUCACCAUGACCUCAACCUCGUGUAAAGAUAUCAAGUGGUUACUAAUAAUAAAAAAUAAAUAAUAAAAACAAAAUGUAUUCAUUAUUAUUAUUAUUAUUAUUUUGUACUUUUACCAUCCAUUGUUCACAUCUUAGCAUAUGGUAGAAAAGAUGAUAAAUGAUUAUUUAUGUCAUAAUUUUUAAGUGAAGUGAUCAAAAUAUUUAAAGAAAAAAUUAAUAAUUGAUGAAUAAUUUUUGGUAAAUUUAUAAAUUUGUAAUAAAUAUUAAUAAAUGAUAAACAAAGUAGUUUUUAAAGCGGUUGUAGUAGUUAAACAUUAUAUCUCAUUAUGAUUUUCCACCUUCAAAACUUAAUAAUAAAAUUUCAUAACAAAUUUUUAUCUAUUUAAAACUUUUGAAAUGUGAAAUCUUUUCUUGGACAUCUUUAUAUAUACAUUUGUGAAUUUUCUCUUUAUUUGCUAUUUAUAAAAUUAAAGGAUAAAGUUAAAAUGUUAAAAAUAAAAGAGAAGUAUAUCCCAACUUACAUCAAUUAAGAGAAGAUAUAUUAAGCACAUGAAGAAUGCAAAAAAAAAUUAAUGAUAAAAUAAAUCACUUAUUAGUUAGUAUUUAAUGAUUUACAUUAUUAGAUUGUAGCGAUGAGUUAUAUUUUUAUUUUUGUGUAUAGGUGAUUUUAAAUUAUAAUAUUUUUUAUUUUAUUUUUGAGUUAGUUUUCUUUGUUGAUACAUAGGUUUUUUUUUUUUUUUUUGUCUUGGAUAUUGUGUUAUCUACAGUUUUAAAAGAAAUAAAAAUUAUUUAUCCCACAUUGAUUCAAAACUAAAAAUAUUAUAUAUAUAUUUGUUAAAACUUUGAUACCCUUAAAAAAUACAAGUACAACCAAUAAGCAGGCAUAGGGAUGGCAACGGGGUAGGUAUGGGACGGGCCACCCCUACCCCAUUUCCAUCCCGGUUAUAUAUUUUUUUUUCCAUCCCCGUCCCAAACCCAGGGCGGGGCGAGUUGGUGUCUCCUAUGCCCAUUUACAAAAGAGCUGAUAAUCUCAUCCCCAUCCCAAAUGUAUUUUCGGGAAUUAUGCUUUUACAGAACAUGGGUCUCUGAAAUUUCAAUAAACGUUAUAUGGGUUAUCAUAAACACAUUUAAUCAAGCAUUUGUUGUGCAACAAAACUGCAAACUGCACACAUGAGAACAAAAUGCACAGAUCUACAAAUAAACAACCCAAAAAAUCUCAAAUCCAUCAACCAAACCAGAAAAUAUGAAAAACAAGACAUUUCUAACAAAGCCUCAAAACUUAGGGUUUUCUUACCUGGAAAUGAGGAAUCCAUAGAAACCCUAAUAAUUUGUUGUCUACGAAUUUGGUAUUUUGGUUUUCAAAGCAAAAAAUGUGCUUUUAGGGUGAAACGGGAAGAAACAAUUUAGGAAUAAAUGAGAAAACGAGAAGAAAUGAGAAAACAAAAGCCCUAUUACGAGCAAAAGAACCCUGAGCAAUUUAGGAAGAAAUGAGAAAACGGGAAGAAAUGAGAAAACAAAAAGCCUCUUACGAGCAAAAGAAUCCUAAGCAAUUUAGGAAGAAAUGAGAAAACUAGAAGAAAUGAGAAUGAAAGCCCUCUGAGAGCGAAAACCCUCUAAGAGUGAAAGCCCUCUGACUCUCUCACGAGUGAAAUAACCCUAAAAUUUGAGGAAGAAAUGAUUAUAUAUGGAGGACUUUUUGGGUAUUUUGUAAUGACAUAAGGGUAAAUCGGUAAUUCACAUACGGGAUGGGGCGGAAACUGCAAAACCCAUCCCUGCCCUGAACCCGAUUUGGGUUUUUAUAUAUUCCCCAAACCCGUUCUAUACCCGAAUAAAAUAUUCCCAUACCCGUCCCAAUAGGGGCGGGUGACCCGAAUUACUCGGAAAAUUACCAUUCCUAAGCAAGCAUUGAGCUAAAUCCUAAUCUCACAUUCUUGCUCGAAACUUUACACUCAAAUAAAAACAAUUCACCACUUGACUCGAGGGACUAUUCCGUAACUUCUCACUACCAACAACCAGGCACUAUUCGACCUCUCGCUCGCUUAUAAAUUCACUCCCUACUUGCAUAUUCAAAGCGUAUCUCACUACCAUUCUACUCUACUAUUCUACUUUUCGCGGUUUCAUAUCUCACUACUAUUCGCGUGUUCAAAGUGUGCAUAUUCAAAGUGUAUCCCUCCUUGAAUUAAUUGUGAAUUAAUUUAGGCUUCAAAGUGUGUUGCUCUACAAUAUCCUUCCUAGUCAGGCUUCAAAGUAAGAGCAACAACAUCUACAAUAUCUACCAUGGCCACACAACCAAGGUAUGCGGUAUGCCGCCUUUUCUCAUGUCCUUUUCCCAUUUUGUUCCCUCUUUUCAUCUCCAUUUUGUUUUCAAUAUUCUCUUACCUUACUCAUAUUCUCUAAAAUUAGAUAAAAUUAUUAAUUUGAUCAUAUUUAUCUAACAUUUUUAAUUAGUACUACUAGUAUCUUAUUUUCAUAAAUCUAAUUGAAUUUUCUACUUAUUUAUUUAUUGUUUUCAUGACAGAACUUCACCAGCUUUCAUAUCUUUCCUUACAAUUUUGAGUUCAGUUGUCCUUGCGAAGUACCAAUAUGAGAAUGUUUCCCCAUUUUCCCAACACAACAUAGGUAUGCAAAUCUCCUUAUUUGCAUCAUUUAUAUAUUUCAUGAUGGUUGUGGUUUAUGAAAUCCUUGAUUCUGAUGGAACUGUCAAAGUUGAAGAAGAUGGAAGAUAUCUCCUUAUUUUGGGCCUGUUCGGUUCUUAAGUGGAACAGCAGCUGCAACUUUGUUGAUCCUGAUCUUGAUCCCAUAUCUUGGAUGGUUCCUUUUGGUCAUGUAGACCAUGUUCUUAGUGAAAAUAGCAUGCUAUUGGGAUAAAACAUUUUAUAACUUUGACAUGUUCAAGAAUAAAAAAAAAUGCCAAUGAUAGGGAAGGAAGACAAGAGGAGCAGCGACGCCAAGUUUAGAGUAGGUUUGGUCCAACAGAGGUUAUUAGCAAAAAACAUAUUUUCUUCUUGUACUUUCGAAAGUGUUAUAUAAGUGUUAUAUUUUGAGUAAUGAGAGUAUUUUUUUCCUUUUUUCUUUUUCUCUAAUACAUUAUUGGUGAUUAUUCUUCAUCGGAAUACCCACAAGGUUAUUAGAUGUUUAAUUGCAAAUAUGGUUUUAUAUGAUAGCAUUAUGAUUGAACUAAUAAAACAUAUUUUUUUGCAUAUUGUUUAGCUGGACUUCCCAACUACCUCUGGGUAAUAUCCUUUUAACAUAGGAAGUAUAAACUAAUAGCAAGUGCUAAUCUUUCCCAUUCUUACACAAGAAAGAACUAAGGAAAAAGGUAUACUUAGAAGUUGCAUUUCUAUGUUCCCAAACAAUAGAAAAUUCAAUAUAUGGCACUUCACUCUCUACUUUUCUUUCCCACCUUUUCUCAUAACCCAAAUAUGCUCACCUCUCAUUCCAAGAUCCAACCAAAAUUGAAAAACAAUUACAAAAAUCCUAGUAGAAGAGACAGAUCAUACUACAAUUACACUUUCUUACAAGAAAUUGAAGUGCAAAAGGAAUAACAAUUGAGUGAAACAAAUAAAACCAACCCCCUUUACCACACCUACUAAUGAAAUACUUGCAGAGACACUUUAAAUUUCUCCAGACUCCAAGAGAUACUGAUCAACAGCCUCGACACCUGCAGUGAUGAGACCAACACUUGAUACGAUAUAAUGCACAAACUCGACACGGAAUUGGUAAGACUUGGUUAGAUUACAGAAAAAUUUUCAAACAUUAUAUUUUUCUUUCCAAUCACAACAAAACAUCAAAAUAUUUUCAAAAAUAAAAAUUAGAGAUUCCCUCUUCAAAAGAAGACACCCAUGAUUCUGAAAUUGGAGCUUUUAACCCAGAAGAUCAAAGAAGACAAAGAAGAAAAAACCCAACCCCUAACCCAUUCGGAAAUAAGAGGAGAAACCAUCAAAGAAUGAGGGCAUGAGUUAGGAUUUACUUACCUGAUUUUCCUAAAAAUCGAGAAUCACCAAAGGUGGAGGUUUGGUGUCGGCGGUGGUAACUCGUCAAGUGGACUGAAUCUUACAAUGACGACGUCGGCUAGGCAACCCCCUCACAGUCAGAUUGCUCUCCCUCCGGGGUCUUGCAUAGUUGCAAAUUUGCAAUUGCAGGUGGUGUCAUCUAUCGGCGGUCUUGACAGCAACGGUGGUGUGCGAGGUGUGGGAGAUUGGGAGUCCAAAUUGGUAAAGUAACAAAUGCAUUUUAUAUGGAUUUACGUUGAUGAUAUGAGAUAGGAUUUGAUGGUAACAUAUUAAAUUAAAUUAAACGAUUGAGUCCAAAAUGAUACGGAUGGUAUGAGAUGGGAUUUAAUGAAAAAUUAAAUGUAUUUAUAUGGAAAAUUGAGAAUUAAAUCCCCAAUUCUUAGUAUUAUUAUAAAUAGGUGAAAAAAUUUUGUUUUAUUAAAUUUUUAAGCUUAUUUAAUUUCUAUAUAUUUUUUUAUAUAUAAUUUACAUAACAUUUUUAUAAUUUUUUGAAAAUUUUAAUUAUCUUAUUUUGCGUAUUGCUUGAUAUUGAAUCAAAAUGUCGAGACCAACAUAUCUCGGGAUCAUUUGAGUCAAUGAUCGAUAUCACAACUUUGAACCAUGCUCGUCUCCAAUCCCUCAACAAUGAUGAAAAAUGAGGGCAACACAAUUACCUUUUUUAUUAUUAUCAGUUCAAAAUAAUACGUGUAUUAUAAUAUAAUUUUUAAAAAAUAUUUUACAAAAAAAUAUAUGUGGACCCCGCAUUUAGGCUCAUGCACUUCCACUCGAUGGCGAGCUCGAUUUUAUUUUGAAAAUGAUUUUAUUUAUUAGAAAAUGACUUGGAGUCGCUACUUAUUUUUGUUUUAUUUUUAAAGGGUAAACAAAAUAAGAAAGAAAACCCUAAGUGUGACUCCUUAUUUUGGAAAAGGUGGUCUGUGAAAAAUGGGAUCGAGUUCGGGGGCUAGGUUACUUAUCGGGAAGGUACGGUAAAGACCGUAGCACCCCUUUAACUCCCCAAAGUCGGGUCUUUACUAAUAAAAUGAAGUUGACGCGACAAUCAAUAAUAAAAACAAUGAAUAUCGACAUGAUCACAUAUUGAAAACCAAAACAUAUAAGGAUGAUGGUUAGAGUGAGAAAAAAUGCGUACCUAAUCAGCAAGCGGCAACGCGCUAUCAUAAAAUGAGGUUAGUGCACAAAUAAUGGACAUAAAACAUAGCUCACAUGCCACUGAAUCGAGUACAAAAUCAUCAGAUAUCACAAUUAAGUCAAAUUUAUUUUUCGAGGAAACAAUCAUUGAUGUUGGGCCUCCACCAAAACCCAAUUUAUUCCUGCAUGAAUUAAUUCCGUAAAUUCCAUCACUUGGAAUUAUAGAAUUUAAUUCACACUUAUUUUUAAAACGUUUUAGAAUUCAUGGAAGUUAUGGAAAUCCAUGCCGAAGAAAAUGACAACAAAAUUUUAUUAAAAAUGUGAUUUUUGGGACUUGAAAGCUCUAAGAAUGAAGAAUCUGGAAAAUAAUGCGAAAAAAAUGAGAUUUGGAAAAAAAUAUUUUUUUAAACCAAGAAUGGUGAAAAUGAGAAGAGAAAAAAAAAGUGACACGUGGCAUAAGGGUGGCCAUGCACCAUUUCAAACAAAUCUAACCCCACUUGCUUUUAUUUGAUCCUGAUCUUGAUCCCAUAUUUUGGAUGGUUCCUUCUGGUCAUGUGGACUUCUUAGUGAAAAUAGCAUGCUAUUGGGAUAAAACAUUUUAUAACUUUGACAUGUUUAAGAAUAAAAAAAAUGUCAAUGAUAGGGAAGGAGGACAAGAGGUGUAGCGACGCCAAGUUUAGAGUAGGUUUAGUCCAAUAGAGGUUAUUAGCAAAAAAACAUAUUUUCUUCUUGUACUUUUGAAAGUGUUCUAUUUUGAAUAAUGAGAGUAUUUUUUUUCCUUUUUUUUUUCUCUAAUACAUUAUUGGUGAAUAAGUGUUCUAUUUUGAAUAAUGAGAGUAUUUUUUUUCCUUUUUUUUUUUUCUCUAAUACAUUAUUGGUGAAUAAGUGUUCUAUUUUGAAUAAUGAGAGUAUUUUUUUUUCUUUUUUUUUUCUCUAAUACAUUAUUGGUGAUUAUUCUUCGCGGAAAUACCCACAAGGCUAUUAGAUGUUUCAUUGCAAAUAUGGUUUUACAUGAUAGCAUUACGAUUGAACUAAUAAAACAUAUUUUCUACAUAUUGUUUAGCUGGACCUCCCAACUACCUCUGGAUAAUAUCCUCUUAACAUAGGAAGUAUAAACUAAUAGCAAGUGCUAAUCUUUCCCAUUCUUACACAAGAAAGAACCAAGGAAAAGGUAUACUUAGAAGUUGCAUUUUUAUGUUCCUAAACAAUAGAAAAUUCAAUAUAUGGCACUUCACUCUCUACUUUUCUUUCCCACCUUUUCUCAUAACCCAAAUAUGCUCACCUCUCAUUCCAAGAUCCAACCAAAAUUGAAAAACAAUUACUAUUACAAUUACACUUUCUUUCAAGAAAUUGAAGUGUAGAAGGUAUAAUAAUUGAGUGAAACAAAUAAAAACCAACCUCCUUUAACACACCUGCUAAUGAAAUACUUGUAGAAACACUUUAAAUUUCUCCAGACUCCAAGAGAUACUGAUCAACAGCCUCGGCACCUACAGCAAUGAGACCAACACCUGAUACGAUAUAAUGCACAAACUUGGCAUGGAAUCGGUAAGACUCGGUUAGAUUAUAGAAAAAUUUUCAAACAUUCUCUUUUUCUUUCCAAUCAUAAUAAAACAUCAUAAUAUUUUCAAAAAUAAAAAUCAGAGAUUCCUCUUUCAAAAGCAAACACCCAUGAUUCUGAAAUUGGAGCUUUCAACCCAGAAGAUCAAAGAAGACGAAGAAGAAAAAACCCAACCCUUAACUCGUUCGGAAAUCAGAGGAGAAACCACCGAAGGAUGAGGGCAAGAUUUAGGAUUUACUUACCGAUUUUCCUAAAAAUCAAGAAUCAUCAGAGGGUGGAGGUUUGGUGUCGGCGGUGGUAACUCGUCAAGUGGACUGAAUCUUACAACGGCGAGGUCGGCUAGGCAACCCCCUCACAGUCAGAUUGCUCCCCCUCUAGGGUCUUGCAUAGUUGCAAAUUUGCAAUUGCAGGUGGUGUCAUCUAUCGGCGGUCUUGACAACAACGGUGGUGUGCGAGGUGUGGGAGAUUGGGAGCCCAAAUUGGUAAAGUAAAAAAUGCAUUUUAUAUGGAUUUACAUUGAUGAUAUGAGAUAGGAUUUGAUGGUAACAUAUUAAAUUAAAUUAAAUGAUUGAGUCCAAAAUGAUAUGGAUGGUAUGAGAUGGGAUUUAAUGAAAAAUUAAAUGUAUUUAUAUGACAGAUUAAGAAUUAAAUCCCCAAUUCUUAGUAUUAUUAUAAAUAGGUGAAAUUUUUUUGUUUUAUUAAAAUUUUAAGCUUAUUUAAUUUCUAUAUAUAAUUUACGUAAUAUUUUUAUAAUUUUUUGAAAUUUCUAAUUAUCUUAUUUUGCGUAUUACUUGAUACCGAAUCAAGAUGUCAAGACCAGCAUAUCUCGGGAUCAUCUGAAUCAAUGAUCGAUAUCGCGACAUUGAACCAUACUCAUCUCCAAUCCCUCAAUAGUGAUGAAAAAUGAGGCCAACGCAGUUGCCUUUUUUAUUAUUAUAAGUUAAAAAUAGUCAUGUAUUAUAAUAUAAUUUUAAAAAAAUAUUUUUACAAAAAAAAUACAAUAAAGAAAAUUUUAAAUAAAAGAGUUUACAAUAACUUUCUAUAUUAAUAAAUUAAUAAUGAAUCUAUAUCCAUGUAUUAUCGAGAAUAAAUAAGUUUAUAUUUAUAUAUUUUUAUUAUAAAUUUAUAUUGACACAUAUCCUUGAUUUCCCUCAAGGUUUUAUUUUUAAUUGAUUACAAAGCAUUAGUACUUGUUUAAUAAAAAAUGUAUUAAAUAAAUAUUAAUAUUAUAUAAAUAAAUAAAAGUUGAAUUUGAAUAAAACUUAUAUAUAUAUAUCAUAUUCAACAUGAAUAUGAAUCUAUUAUUAAAGAUACAUGGUAAUAAGUGUUAAUAUUAUAUAAUCAAAUGAGAGAGUACAAAAAUGUUCUAUUAUUAUAAUAAUAAGAUAUUUAAUAUCAUGCAAAUAAAUAAAAGUCACCAUAAAUUUAAAUUUGAAUUUAUAUUUUUAAACCCUUCAAAUUUUUAUUUUUAUUUUUAAAUUUUAAGAAUUUUUUCUCCACUUCAAAUAGCAAUAAUAGUGUUUAUUCAUACUAGUUAUACUUAAAAUUGAUGAAAAUUAUGAAAAAAAAAAAAGAAAUAAAAACCCAUACCCUUCAAAUUUGCAUUUGUUUUAAUUUUAAGAUUUUUUUUCUCUACUUCAAGUAAUAAUAAUAAUAAUGUUUAUUCAUACUAAUAACAAUAAAAUUAAUGAAAAUGAUGAAAAAUAAAAAAUAAAUAGUAAAAACUUCAAAUUUGUAAUAAUAAUAAUGUUUAUUCAUACUAAUAAACAAUUCUUCAUAAUCAUAACCUACUAAUUUCCAACAAUUAUAAUUGAAAUUAUUUUGAAUAAACAAUGUAAUUUGUAUUUGAAGUUGAAAAAAAUUGUGAAAAUUAAAUGGGAAGGGUAGGGUUUUAAUUUUAUUUUAUUUUUUUUACUUUUUACCUCAUAAAUUUUUUAUUUUUUUAUUUUUAUUUAUUUAUGAAUUCUAAGUGAAAUUAUUAUGAAUCAACAAUUUUAUUGAUAUUUAAAGUUAAAAAAAAUCUAUGAAUUUUAAAUAAAUUUUGGAAGGUAUUUGUAAUGGGGUAUUUUUAUUUGCACUUUCCUAUUAUGUUGAAACAUUGUUUGGUUUCAAAAUUGUUUAUUCAAAAUAAUUUCAAUUAUUAUUAUUGGAAAUUAGGAGGUUAUGAUUAUGAAGAAUUGUUUAUUAGUAUGAAUAAACAUUAUUAUUAUUAUUAUUAUUAUUAUUAUUAUUAUUUGAAGUAGAGAAAAAAUUCAUAAUGCAUAGGGAGAUCACAGAUUCUAUGGAUUCAACAAUUGAUAAGCCUACUUGUUUAUAUUAUUGUCCUUAACCAGCUAUCCCAUUUUUUAAUUUACUUUUGGUGCAUUUAGUUUGUAACUUAUCUUAUGUUUUACUUAUUUUCAAUUUUUUAAGGUUUAGAUAGUUUUUUUUUUCUAAAAAAAAAAAAAAACCUCUUUUGAGCCAUAACUUGAUUCUCUUGCUAUUCUUAUUUUUAACCAUUUUUUCAAUGAGAAAUUAGGUCUUUUGGCGGAAUUGUGGGAAGUGGAUUGAAUCGGGAAAUUUAUUUGGUCCAGAUUGUGUUUCACUAGAGUCCUAAGAGAUGCAGCUAAGUGAGCUUAUAAUAAAAAGGUAGGCAUGUAAACGAACCAUGCUAGUCCGGGCCAUUCUUAGCUUGGCCUAGUGGGCCUUCAAAAUUGCUCCAACAUGAAUUUCAACGUGAACUUCAGUUUUUAAAAUUAAUAAUUAUACAUUUGUUUUAACUAUUUAUAACAAAUAUUAUCUUUGAAAAGUAAAUUUCAAUUAAUUUUUAUAUUUAAAUAAAAAUUAUUAUUAUUUUAAUUAUUUGUAUCCAAAUCAUACCCGAUAUAUUUGAUUUAUCUUACAAUGUUUCAACAUAAUAGGAAAGUGCAAAUAAAAAUACCCCAUUACAAAUACCUUCCAAAAUUUAUUUAAAAUUCACAUAUAUAUAUAUAUAUAUAUAUAUAUAUAUAUAUAUGAAUUUUAAAUAUCAAUAAAAUUGUUGAUUCAUAAUAAUUUCACUUAGAAUUCAUAAAAAAAAUAUGAGGAAAAAAAAUUAAAAUAAAAAAUUUUAAGAUCCCUACCCUUCCCAUUUAAUUUUAACAAUUUUUUUUUCUGAGCAUUGAUUUGUUGAUCGGUUAUUAAGGGCCACUCAUUUGCUUUGUUGGAUCUAACUCUCUGUAUGCAUGCUCUGUUUUGGCUUUGUUUUUUUUUUUUUUUUUUUAUCUUUGCUUUCUCUUGUAAAUAUCUGAUGCAUUGUUCCUUCUCUGAACUUGAGAUAUAAAAAUCAUGCUCUUGUUCCUUGUGGAUUCCACCUUCUCCUAGCUCUUUGACAAUCCAUGAAAUAGAGCUAAGUUCAUACUUUAUUUUUAUGUUUUUAUUCUUUUUUGUUUGUUGUUGAUGGUGGGAUGAUAUUAUCAAUGGCCAAGUUGCUAGGAUUAGAGGAGUGAGGUUAUGGGGAAGUGAACUUAAUGGAGGAUUUCCGUGAUCAUAUCCAUGCUCCAAUAUAUUGGUUCCCAAUGUUGGCCACGGGACUGUAUUGAAGUUUUGGUAUUUGGGAUCACUUUGCCUUCUGGGUUCAGUAAGCAACACAGUGGCAAUAAAGAUGCUUUGGUGUUAUUAAUUUGGGUGAAUAAGUUGGUUGUAUGAAUUGUGAAAGUUCAGGUUGUGCUUUGAGGAGAGUAUAUCUUGCAUCCUACUAUUUUAAUUAUUAAUUUUGGAUGUUGAAAUAUGAUGUGAUUGCACUUCAUAUGCAUCAUAGUUGUGUGAAGAAAAAGAAAGAUUAAAGAACUGGUUGUGUGAAAUGGAAAUAAGAAUGGAAAAACCUUGGAGAUGGCAAAAAUGAAAAGAAAAGAAAAAAAAAAAAAAUGCAAUGACCCUAGAGAGAGCGAAUUAAGAAGGGAGUGAAAUCCCUAGGGUGAAAGACCCAAAAGUUUACUUCGGGAAGACUUCGAAUGAGGAGUAUAUUUAGGUACAGACGUGUAUCCUUUGGUGAAAGCCCGAGAAUGACAGUGCAUUGUGUGAUUGUGAGAUUGUGUGUAAGCAUUUGCAUCAUAAUUGCAUUUGGAAGAAGGAUUUGUAUUAUUUAUCAAGUGUAUAUUUGAAUAUAUUAUUCAAAACUAAAAUGACUUGUUUAUUUUGUAAAUUUAGAAUUGUUAAUAUACUAAACAUGAUUGAAUAAGGAAAAUGAUAAUUUUGAUUGUUUUAAAUUUGUAUGGUUAGGGUUUCUUUCAGUGUAUAUAUUGUAAAUGUAAUAUUAUAUCUUGGCAUAUGGUUGUGUUAUUGACCUAGAAUUUCUAACCUAUUUGGGUGUAAAACAUCCUACUGAGCAACGUGGAAAUGCUCACCCUUUUAUUUUUUAAAAUUUUUAGAUGUAAAUAUAGUUUUAGAGGGACCACAAAAAGUUCAAGAAGCGUUUUAGAAAGCAAAAGAACCAUAAUAAGAGUUGUUUUUAAAUUUAUAUUUCUCUUCUUAUACGUACCAAUUUGAGUUAUAUGGGCUUUUGUAUGUUAAAUUAUAUUUGUUAGGUUGUAAAAUAUUUUUGGAAAUAUCCUUUUUGAUUUAGAGAUUAUUGUAAAUAUUUGUGUUUUUGGGCAGGAAGAUGACUAAUGGAUUUAUUAUACUUGUGAAUAAGAGAUAAUGUGAUGGUUGGUUUUAAAAAAAUAAAAUAAUAUGUUAUAAUAAAUCUUAGUUUAAUAAGUUUAUUUAAGAUUACACGUUUUACUAUAAAAAAAAUAAAAAAUUUCAAAGUGUUUUGAUUGAUUGACAACGUAGAUAAGAAUUACCCGGAUCAAACUCUUGACCUGGGCCAACUAUGUUGGUGAAUACCCAAUUAUACCCACAUGAAUCAGCCGUCAAUCUUACAAAUCCAAGGGCAAAGUAGUCAUUCCAAUUCAAACCAAAAAAAGCCAUGAUUCAUGAAAACUGCUGGCCACAGCUCCUGGUUUUUGCCAAACUUUGGGCACCAAAUCCAAACCCAUCUCUUUGCUAUAUAACCAACCCACCUUCACUUCUUCAUCACAACACAACUACCUUGAUUUACAGAGAGAUCUUCUAUAUCCAUUCACUACUCAGAAUCACCUCUUUUUUUUGUUGAUUGUUGUUUGGGUUUUGGAGAAAGAAAAUUAAGAAGAUGAGUCAUAUGGGGAAAGCUUGGAUAGUGGCAGCAAGUGUGGGAGCAGUGGAGGCACUCAAGGAUCAGGGCUUCUGCAGAUGGAACUACACUCUGAGGUCUAUUCACCAGCAUGCCAAGACCAACCUCAGGUCCUUUACUCAGGCCAAGAAGCUCUCUUCUUCCUCUUCUGCCAUGGUUUCCAGUAGAGUGAGAGACGAGAAGGCCAAGCAGUCAGAGGAGUCUCUGAGGACUGUCAUGUACUUGAGCUGCUGGGGACCCAACUGAAGAAGAAGAUAUGAAGAUGGAUGAUCAUCAGCCUGCUCUUGAAGCAACCAGGGAGGGCAUAUUCCAAGAAACUUAUGGAAAAUUGAGAUGAAGAAACUGCAGUGAAGCAAUUUUCUUGGAAUUUUUGCUUGGAGACUCACGAAUUACAACCAAUUGCUCAGGGUUGGGAAAAUUGGAAUUGCUGUGAAUUGUGACUGGGUCUUUGUAAAACCCACAUCAUUUAGCUAGAAAAGCUUUGAAAAUACAUUUUUAUUUAAUUUAUAAUUUCUAUGUUAGAAUAUUAGACCUGAUUCCUAAAAAGCUUAUCAGCCUUGUAUUAGACCCAAGCUCAAGCGCAUUAAGAAAAAAUAUGGCAGAUUUUGUCAUAUAGGGGAUAAAGAGGUGAUAAAGUAGAUACAACUCCCAAAAUUAAACUCUCAAUUAAUUUAAUUGAACAAAUAAUCAUAAAAGAGAUUUUUUAAAUUUAUGAUUUUAUUUUUUAAUUUAUACUAUUUGAAAAAGAAAAUUUCAGUGAAAUAUGUUCGUGUAGACUGUGUGGUAGGGUGCAGACUAAACAAAGAAAUGGACACGUGCUUGAAAUCCGGCCCUACACAUUGGCCCUUUGGAAAACAGCGGUUUCAUCCUCCGUACUUUUUGGGCGUUAAGUGGGUUCACAAACCAAACAAUGGGCUGCUAACACUUACACUGAGGACAAGCUAUGUAGGUGAAUACCCAAUUAUAAUACCCACAUGAAUCAGUGGUCAAUCUUACAAAUCUAAGGACAAAGUAGUCAUUCCAAUUCAAACCAAACAAAGAUAUGAAAACUGCUGGCUACAGCCUCUGGUUUUCCCCAAAACUUUGGGCACCAAACCCAUACCCAUCUCUUGCUAUAUAACCAACCCACCUUCAGUUCAUCUUCCUCAUAACAACACAAAACACUUGAUUUAUAGAGAGAUCUUCAAUAUACCAUUCACUACUCAGAAUCAGUUCUUUUACUGUUGAUUUCUGUUUGAGUUUUGGAGAAAGAAAAUUAAGAAGAUGAGUUAUAUGGGGAAAGCUUGGAUAGUGACAGCGAGUGUGGGAGCAGUGGAGGCACUCAAGGACCAGGGCUUCUGCAGAUGGAACUAUGCUAUGAGGUCUAUUCACCAGCACGCCAGGAACAAGCUCAGGUCUUGUUCUCAGGCCCAGAAACUCUCUUCUUCCUCUUCCGCCAUGGCUUCUAGCAGAGUGAGAGAGGAGAAGGCCAAGCAGUCAGAGGAGUCUCUGAGGACUGUCAUGUACUUGAGCUGCUGGGGACCCAACUGAGGAAGAAGCUAUAUAUAUAUAUAUAUAUAUGAAGGUUUUGAUCGUCCUACUAGUGAUGAAGACAGUGGAGGGGAGAGAUUGAUUUCAUGGAAUUUUUGUACAAAGACAUAUACAUGAGGGUGGAAUUGCUGUAAAUUGUAUAGUUUAUUGACGAUGGCUCUAUGAAAUA
rnacentral:lncRNA from 1 species